rnacentral:rRNA from 1 species
CCCUUAGAUGUUCUGGGCCGCACGCGCGCUACACUGAUGCAUUCAACGAGCCUAUCCUUGACCGACAGGUCCGGGUAAUCUUUGAAUCUGCAUCGUGACGGGGAUAGAUUAUUGCAAUUAUUAAUCUUCAACGAGGAAUGCCUAGUAGGUGCAAGUCAUCAGCUUGCGUCGAUUACGUCCCUGCCCUUUGUACACACCGCCCGUCGCUCCUACCGAUUGGGUGUGCUGGUGAAAUGUUCGGAUCGGCCGUUUGUCGCGGUUUCCGCGGCUCGUGGCUGAGAAGUUCAUUAAACCCUCCCACCUAGAGGAAGGAGAAGUCGUAACA